rnacentral:rRNA from 1 species
GUGGGGAAUUUUGGACAAUGGGCGCAAGCCUGAUCCAGCAAUGCCGCGUGCAGGAAGAAGGCCUUCGGGUUGUAAACUGCUUUUGUACGGAACGAAACGGUCCUGGCUAAUAUCCGGGGCUAAUGACGGUACCGUAAGAAUAAGCACCGGCUAACUACGUGCCAGCAGCCGCGGUAAUACGUAGGGUGCGAGCGUUAAUCGGAAUUACUGGGCGUAAAGCGUGCGCAGGCGGAUUUGCAAGACAGAUGUGAAAUCCCCGGGCUGAACCUGGGAAAUGCAUUUGUGACUGAAAGGCUAGAGUAAGGCAGAGGGGGAUGGAAUUCCGCGUGUAGCAGUGAAAUGCGUAGAUAUGCGGAGGAACACCAAUGGCGAAGGCAAUCCCCUGGGCCUGUACUGACGCUCAUGCACGAAAGCGUGGGGAGCAAACAGGAUUAGAAACCCCGGUAGUCC